rnacentral:rRNA from 1 species
CCUACGGGUGGCAGCAGUGAGGAAUAUUGGUCAAUGGACGCAACUCUGAACCAGCCAAGUAGCGUGCAGGAUGAAGGCCCUCCGGGUUGUAAACUGCUUUUAGUUGGGAAUAAAAGGGGGCUCGUGAGCCCCGUAUUGUAUGUACCAUCAGAACAAGGACCGGCUAAUUCCGUGCCAGCAGCCGCGGUAAUACGGAAGGUCCGGGCGUUAUCCGGAUUUAGUGGGUGUAAAGGGAGCGUAGGCCGGCUUAUAAGUCAGCUGUGAAAGUCCGCGGCUCAACCGCGGAAUUGCAGUUGAAACUGGAGGCCUUGAGUGCACACAGGGAUGCUGGAAUUCAUGGUGUAGCGGUGAAAUGCUUAGAUAUUAUGAAGAACUCCGAUCGCGAAGGCAAGUGUCCGGGGUGUAACUGACGCUGAGGCUCGAAAGUGCGGGGAUCAAACAGGAUUAGAUACCCGAGUAGUC